GAUGAACGCUGGCGGCGUGCCUAAUACAUGCAAGUCGAGCGAACAGAUGAGGAGCUUGCUCCUCUGACGUUAGCGGCGGACGGGUGAGUAACACGUGGAUAACCUACCUAUAAGACUGGGAUAACUUCGGGAAACCGGAGCUAAUACCGGAUAAUAUAUUGAACCGCAUGGUUCAAUAGUGAAAGACGGUUUUGCUGUCACUUAUAGAUGGAUCCGCGCCGCAUUAGCUAGUUGGUAAGGUAACGGCUUACCAAGGCAACGAUGCGUAACCGACCUGAGGGGGUGGAGGCGCACACGGGAAGUGAGACAGGACCGAGACACUGAGGGGGGGAAGCGGACGGGACUCUUACGCAAGGGAGGAAAGCGGAAGGGAGCAACGCGGGGGAAGUGCUGAAGCACUUCGGACGGGAAAUUUCGAUUGUUGGGGAGAACAAAUGUGUAAGUAACUAUGCACGUAUUGACGGUACCUAAUCAGAAAGCCACGGCUAACUACGUG
rnacentral:rRNA from 1 species